rnacentral:rRNA from 1 species
UACGUAGGGGGGCUAGCGUUGUCCGGAUUUAUUGGGCGUAAAGAGCGUGUAGGCGGCCAGGUAGGUCUGCUGUGAAAACUCGGAGGCUUAACCCUCGAGAUGUCGGCGGAAACCAUCUGGCUAGAGUCCGGAAGAGGAGAGUGGAAGUUCCUGGUGUAGCGGUGAAAUGCGCAGAUAUCAGGAGGAACACCAAUUGCGAAGGCAGCUCGCUGGGACGUUACUGACGCUGAGACGCGAAAGCGUGGGGAGCAAACAGG